UGCCCCAUGGCUGAGUUGGUUACAGCGUCCGACUGUUAUCAUUCAUCCUCGAUGUACAGCAUCAAUCGGAAGGUCGAGAGUUCGAGCCUCUCUGGGGCAG
rnacentral:tRNA from 1 species